GACGAACGCUGGCGGCGUGCUUAACACAUGCAAGUCGAACGAAGAGCGACGGAAGCUUGCUUCUAUCAAUCUUAGUGGCGAACGGGUGAGUCACGCGUAAUCAACCUGCCCUUCAGAGGGGGACAACAGUUGGAAACGACUGCUAAUACCGCAUACGAUCUAACCUCGGCAUCGAGGAUAGAUGAAAGGCGGCCUCUACAUGUCAGCUAUCACUGCAGGAGGGGAUUGCGUCGGAUUAGCUAGUUGGAGGGGUAACGGCCCACCAAGGUGAUGGUCAGUAGUCGGUCGGAGAGGAUGAACGGCCACAUUGGGACUGAGACACGGCCCAGACGGAUACGGGAGGCAGCAGUAGGGAAUCUUCCGCAAUGGACGAAAGUCUGACGGAGCAACGCCGCGGGCGGGAGGACGGACUUCGGGUUGGAAAGCUCGGUUAAUCGGGACGAAAGGCCUUCUUGCGAAUAGUGAGAAGGAUUGACGGUACCGGAAUAGAAAGCAACGGCUAACUACGUG
rnacentral:rRNA from 1 species